CUGUCAACAACAUCCCAUCCUGAAGACUUGCUUACCACAACUGAGAGUGGGGAGUCAGUUUGAGGCCUAGCAUCACUUAAACUUCCUCCAAAGGCACAAAAGCCAGAAGAGAAAAAUGAAGACGGGACAUUUUGAAAUAGUCACCAUGCUGCUGGCAACCAUGAUUCUAGUGGACAUUUUCCAGGUGAGAAAAACUGGAAGCUUGAAGACCAUGGUGAGAAAAACCAGAAGCUUGAAGACCAUGGUGUGAAAAUCCUUGAACCCACCCAAAUACCUGCUCCAGGUCCAGUUCCUGUUCCAGGUCCCAAAAGCCAUCCUUCUGCAUCCUCGGGCAAACUGCUGCUUCCACAGUUUGGGAUGGUCAUCAUUUUAAUCAGUGUUUCUGCUAUAAAUCUCUUUGUUGCUCUGUAGUUUGAUGCAUUGUUUAUCUUUCUUAUUCUUUACUUGAAAUAACUAUAGGGAUCCACAGGAGAUCAAAAGGAAUGAUGUAUUUUUUACGUGUUGGCCAAAGUCACUGGAUAAAAUGAGAAUUGUAUAUUUGUUAUUCAUUUUGCAAAUUCAGAAAGUUGGUCCAGAUAUAUGUCACAGAACUUUUCACUUGUAUACUACUCUUACAAUGG
rnacentral:lncRNA from 10 species